AGGCUUGUUGUGAGUAAAUCAGAGGAAUCAAGAUUGAUCCUGCAAAAAAUGCCUGAACCGAAAAAAAGAAGAAAAAAUUAAACGGUCAGGUAGGAUAAUAUUUGCCAAGGGGCACUAAAAAAAAAAAAAAAAAAAAAAAAAAAAAAAAAAAAAAAAAAAAAAAAAAAAAAAAAAAAAAAAAAAAAAAAAAAAAAAAAAAAAAA
rnacentral:lncRNA from 1 species